CCCAUGAGGGUCGUCGAAGAUCACGACGUCGAUAGGUCGCAGGUGUAAAGGCGGCGACGCCAAAGCCGAGCGAUACUAAUUGCCCGAACGGCUUUCCCUA
rnacentral:rRNA from 1 species